rnacentral:tRNA from 1 species
CUUUUGAUGGCCGAGCUUAGGCCGUAGAUUUUUAAUCUGCUAACGAGGUUAACCUCUCAAAGGU